GACGAACCGUCCAAACGUUAUUCGGAAUCACUGGGCUUACAGAGUUCGUAGGCGGUCUGGAAAGUUGGGUGUGAAAUCCCUCGGCUCAACCGAGGAACUGCGCUCAAAACUACCCGACUCGAGGGAGAUAGAGGAAAGCGGAACUGAUGGUGGAGCGGUGAAAUGCGUUGAUAUAAUCAGGAACACCGGUGGCGAAGGCAGCUCGCUGGGACGGUACUGACGCUGAGACGCGAAAGCGUGGGGAGCAAACAGG
rnacentral:rRNA from 1 species